GAUGUCUGAAGUGUGAUGUCAUAUCCGCUAAUUCUAGUAGUGAUUGCUGUUAAAACGAAAGGGUCGGAUUUGGACAAUAGGUUUGUUGUUCCUUACAAUAGAGAUUUAUUGCUGCUGUUUCAAUGCCACAUUAAUGUGGAAAUAUGCAACAACUCAAGAUCACUCAAGUAUCUCUUUAAGUACUGCCUCAAAGGACAUGACAAUGCUACGAUGUUGCUUAAGAAAAAUAAUGGAUCGCGUGUCAACAUACAGCAAGUACAGGCUGGUAAACCACUGGAUGAGGUAAAACACUACCUCGACGGUCGCUACAUAUGUGCUUCCGAGGCUGCUUGGCGUAUAUUUGGGUUUGAUAUCCAUUCCAGGUGGCCCUCGGUCGACAGGUUACCUAUACACAUGCCCGCAACAAGUAUGUUAGUUUUAGAACUGGUGAGUCGUUGCAGCAAGUAUGUAACAGAGCAGAUACGAAGAGGAGCAAGUUGGAGGGCUGGUUUAUUGCAAAUAAAGAGAUCACUGCUGCUAGGAAUUACACAUAUAAUUGGAAUCAUCGCAAGCUCAAAGAUUGGCAUGUUCUGUGAGUUUGUCCAGAUUGGUACACUGCCAUCAACAAGGAUUUAUUUUAACCUUGAUGUUGAGCCAGUUAACGAACUGAGGAACCGUUUAAAAGAAGAAGGGUACAAUUCAUCAAGAGGUUUUGCUUUGGCUGUAAAUGAUACUGUCCCUGUUUUGGAACAUGUAUCCUUUGCCUCAUUAAUUGGUAACGCAGAUUCUAUUCUUGAUAAGGUAUCUGUUCUGGUAACCUUUAUUGUGAAGAAAAUUGAAGAGGCAGACAGCUGGUGGUUCCACAGCUGCACCGUAUGCCACGAAGAAGUUGUGAAAGUCGAAAGAAAGUUCAAGUGUGAAGCAUGUAAUUGUAGCUUUCCAUAUUCCGAAAAAAGACUCCUGCAGACAAUCCGAUCAAUGAGAUGUAUAAGAUGAUUGUUGGUAAAGAGAUAUUUGCCAAGAUUGUUCUAACUCAAGGCAACAAGAGCGGGGACAGUAACCUUUAUGAAGCUGUGGAUUUGUUCGAUCAGAAAUUCCAUGAUGCUGGACAUGGCGACAUAUCCCCGAGAUCCAGUGUGGCCUCAUUCAACCAAUCAUCGGUUGUUCAUGGCAUUGAACAUUUCCAAACUUCAGGAUCAUCCGGAUCUGUUUCGAAGAAGAUCAAAAAGG